AGUGCCAACGACCUCACAGACACAGGUUGUGGAUAGCAGCAGACAUGGAGGUGGAGGCUGGGCGGCCAGUGAUGCUGUGAGUCAGUUCUGCAGGCUGUACGGGAAGCACGGCACCAGUAUCUGCUUCUGGUGAGGACUCAGGAGCUUAAAAUCAUGGUGGAAGCAGGGAGAGCAAGCAUGUCACAAGGUGAGAGAGGAAGCAAGAGAGAAGUGGAGAGGUCCCAGACUCUUUCUAACAACCAGAUCUCACAUGAAUUCCUUACUGCUGGGAGGGCAGCAAACUAUGCAUGAAUGAUCCAUCCCAUGACCCAAACACCUCCCAGUAGGCCCCACCUUCAACAUUGGGAAUCACAUUUCAACAUGAGAUUUGGAGGGGACAAACAUCCAAACUAUAUCAGAUGGGAACCGUCAGGGCAGUUGAGCAAAGACGUGACAGGAUUUGGCUUCCAUUAUGAAAGCAUUGCUAGGGACACUGGGUGGAGAAUUAGACCACAGAGGGGUCAGAAAGCAGGAGGAAAAUCAGGAACUCCCCACCCCCCGCCAUAUUCAGAUGAUGAUUCUCAGCUCACAAAUGUGCCUCCAAAAUCUGAUGGCACCAUGACCCUCUCCUGGAUCCUCGGGUGACUUCGCUCUGCCUUUAAAUGGAACAUAUACACGGGCAGCCACGAGAUCCUGCACGUUCUGCACCAGCCUCCCUCUGCAUUGCCUUGCUACCAUGGAUUUGCCUUCUGUUCUCUCUCUCUCUUACUUGGUGAUUCCACCCGAGACCGUGUUUCUGGUACUUACCUGGCCCGUGUGCAUUUCCCUGAUGCCUGCGAUGUUCUCCUCCACUUCUUUAUCUGGCUAAGACCUGGUCACCUUAACCAUCUUCAACCUUCUGUUUCUCAGGGAAGCCACUCCUGCCUCUCGCAGACCAGCCUGGGUAGGGCUUCGUACAGCCUAGGGUUCCCCCCCUACUUUGGUCAUACUGCUCACUUUUGGGAGUACCUGCUCUUUUUGGUCUCUUUCUUUGGGCUCCAGUCACCAAGGCCAGGUCAACUUCUCUCUUGUUCACCCGUCAGCACUUAAGCCAAGUGCACAAUCCCAAAAACCUGAUGGCACCACGACCGUCCGGAAUAUCUGGACCCUUGACAAGGAAUACUUUGUGAGGUGAACAGAAUACUUGCCAACAUCACACAGCUACUAAGCGGGCAGAUCAAGGAUCAAACUCCUGCUUCCAACUUCUUCCUGGCCCCUGGACCUUAACUCAAGGCUCAGUUUAGCCUCAGCUGGUGACAGCUGGUGAGUAAGACAUUCAGUUUUUCUGGGUCUCGGUUUUCCCAACUAUUAAAUGACAGGGUUGGAUGCUGAGUUCAUUUCCAGGGCUCCAGGAUCUGCAAAGGCUCCCCCAGUCCAUCUGACCACAAGAAUUACCCAGGCCUGGGGACACUUGUAAGAAUACUCACCUGAACCUGCAGAAUCACAGCUCCAGAAGAUGAACCUGGGAUUCUCAUUCUGUUUAUUUGUUUGUUUAUUCAAGGGUCCCAGGUGAAUCUUAUCACCAAAUAAGUUUUGGAAAUACAUUUCUAAGGGACUCCUUCCCAAAGGAGCUUCCCAGAACAGAAAGGUCAAAGAGGAGGCAAAAACAUGAUUGUAGUGGCUAUUUCAGCACAGCAACAGUUCCUUCUCAAAUGUCUCCUCUCUAUUAUAAAAAGAAACUUUGCAUC
ensembl:lncRNA novel transcript